rnacentral:tRNA from 1 species
GCCCCUGUAGCUCAGCGGAAAGAGUGUCCGAUUACGAAUCGGAAGGUCGGAGGUUCGAUUCCUCCUAGUGGCAC